rnacentral:lncRNA from 1 species
CUGUGAAAAUCUUAUGUCAUUCUUUCCUGGCCUACAAGGUUUCUGAUGAGGUGAUGAGGUGAACUGUCAGGAAAAUUGGGAAACCCUUACAUGCUAUUUGUUUCUUUUCUUUUGAAUCCUUGAGCAUCUUCUCUUUUAUUUGUAAGACUUUGACUAUAACAUGUCUUUGGGUAGACUAGGUUGAGUUAAUUUUAAUUGGUCCCAUUUGACCUUCCUAGGUCAGGAUGUUUAUAUUCUUCUCUGAGCUUGGGAAGUUUUCUGCCAUGGCUCUUUGAAUCAGCUUUCUGUAUCUUUUGUAUUCUCAAGUCCUUCUUGAACUCCUUUUUUUUGUUCUUUUACUGCUGUCCCAAGUUCCCAUAUGCUUUCUUCAUUCCUUUUUAUUUUUUUUUCUUUUGACUCCUCCAACUGUGUAUUUUCAAAAAGCCUAUAGUUGAGUUCAUUAAUUCUUUCUUCUGUUUAAUCUAUCCUAUUUUUUAUAGUGUUUUUAAUUCUCUGAGAGAACUCUCAUAGUGUUUACUGCUUGGUCAGUUUCUGGCACCUUAUGUUGAUUAUUAGGUGAAGACACGGUUUUCCGAAAAUUUUUGAUACUUUUUGGCACGCAACAUCCAUUGGGCAUUGAAGACGAGGUAUUUAUUCCAGUCUUCCUUAACUGGUUUUGUUUGCGCCUUUUCUUCUAGAAAUUCUAAGCAAACUGCUUAUUUUCUCUAAGUUUAUAGUCACUUCCACUACUUCAGUACUGGAAGGCACCAAGGUCCAUAACUGCCAGGUGUCUGCUGUUGGCAUGUUUUCAAUGUGUCAGUAUUAGAGGUCACUCCAAGUCCAGGUUUGCCCCAGAUAGACUGAUGGUGUAUUGUUUUCAGAAAGGAACAGGAGAGUACCUAAAAAAGAGUAGUCUGUCCCCACAAGCUUCUCCCUGGUCCCAGGUUAGGACCCGAUGCCUUGUCUGCAGUUACUGGUCUGUGGUCAGACGCUGCAGGAUUCUGCAUGGUUCUGGGUAGUAUCACUGUAGAUGGACCAGUCCAAGGCUCUGUGUCUGUCUUGUCGGCACCAAUGUUGUGACGUUUGAGCCCAAACCUACAAAGAUCAGCACAACACUAAGUUAGAACAAGGCCCACGUUGCUAUGGACUGCCUGUUGUUGAGGUGAACUCAUGGCCCAAGAUGGCAGCACCCAGUCACAGAUGAUAUUAGCUGUCAUAGAAGUCUGACUGAUUGGAGCUGUGUUGUCUUUUCCAGGCACUGGAGCUGUUCCAGAGGUUCUGAGUGCAGGCAGCCCUGAGAAUGGGAUCAAUUAGGAUCUUCCCAAUGUUAGGUUUCACCAGCCCAGCACUAAGUUCCUGGGAAAAAUCCUGUGCUUACUACCUACCCUGUCUUAUCCCAGCAAAUGGGGCCAUGCAUCAUGAUAUGCUGCCCAAAGUUGGUGAGGGGAGUCCCUCUGCCACCUAGGCUGAUGUUGAAUCAAGUCUACCUGAUUCUUGCGUCUCCCCUGCACAGUCUCAGGGUGCACUAGGGCCCACACUGCAACUGGUGGCAAUGUAGGUCAAAG